UACGUAGGGCGCAAGCGUUGUCCGGAAUUAUUGGGCGUAAAGAGCUCGUAGGCGGCUUGUCACGUCGGGUGUGAAAGCCCGGGGCUUAACCCCGGGUCUGCAUUCGAUACGGGCUAGCUAGAGUGUGGUAGGGGAGAUCGGAAUUCCUGGUGUAGCGGUGGAAUGCGCAGAUAUCAGGAGGAACACCGGUGGCGAAGGCGGUUCUCUGGGCAUUACCUGACGCUGAGGAGCGAAAGCAUGGGGAGCGAACAGG
rnacentral:rRNA from 1 species